rnacentral:tRNA from 1 species
CGGAAUAGUAGUUUAGGUAAAACACUAGCAUUGGAAGCUAUAGAUUAGGUAAAUUAAUCCUACAUUCUGA